UCAAUAGCUAGACGGCGACCGACUGUUCGUGGUGCCGCUUCGAUGGAUAAGCAGAGGUUGUCCCCUGGGUGGGACCGCGCUGAACCCACAAACCCUUGCCCUCGGUGGUCCUCGAAACAAAGCCGCCGCCGCCGCGAGCAGCUAUACUCCAUCCCCACUACCGUUCAAGUCUACGGCGGCUGAAGCUAACCAACAAUGGAAGAUAAUGGCCUUGAGUUCCUUCUCGACGCGGUCGACAGAUUUCCCCUCUGUGAAGAAUUCGCGAACAUCCUAGACCACGGAGAUCCGGUUCCUCUGGCGGUUCUCUCGUGGAAUUGUGCGACAAGCGUUGAGUCGGCUGACUCAAACGUUGGGUCCGGAUGCGGGCAGCGAGUUGGCGGCGUUAGCCAGGUGUGGGAAGAGGGCAGCGGGCGGCGACGCCGCGAGGCGUCUCCGACAAGGUCCGAACAGUUGACAGAGGGUGAAUCCGGAGGCGCCAGGAUGAACAAUAAGUUGCGGUUGCGACUAGGGAGCGUGCUGCCAGACAGAACCCAUUUCCUUCAAGAAUGAGUGCCCUUGAGUAGUCAAUUCACAAGUAUGCGGAGAAACCGACAAAAAUGUGUGAUUGGCUUUGGGAUAAGAUAUGGAAAAAGCAGAUUGAACGCAGAGAGGACCAAAUCAAUGCAGGAGAUUGUCUGCAUCUGCUCGGGAAGCCAGAGGCUGAGAAUAGCAGGUUGUGUAGAUGCGAGUGACCUGCUUUGAGGAUGUACAUUUCUGAAAACCGUGUUUGCUGUCACAGUUCAUGGAUGUACUUCACUUAGAGGAGAUUCCUGUUAAGCAUAUUGUCAAGCGGUGGACCAAGGACGUGAAGAACAUUCAGUUAACUUGUCUUUCACGUGCAGACAUUCGACGCUAUAUAUGAAAGCUAUGGAUGUCAUGAUGAUGGGGAUGCGAGUGCAGAGUCAUUCGAGCACAUGUUAGCUAGUCUGAAUGAUUGUUGGUUACUAGUGCACCGUAGAGAUUGUUUGGCUUUUGAGGACCAAUUAGCAAAGGUCUUGCAGUCCCGGAUAAGCAGAGGGGUUGGAAGGCCGACAGAUACUGGAGAAGGCACCUUACGAGGGUCUGAGCAAAUGGAUAAAUUUCUGCAGCUUCUGCCGAGGGACACAAGGGAACAACCUGUCCUGGGAUGCACCGAAGAAGCCGUGCAAACCCUGGAAAAUGCAAGAACUAUAGUAUGGUAGGCCAUCACUAGAACAUAUGUACCAGGCCACUGGGAAUUGCUGAAAAAAUGGGAUGUGAUAUUUAAGUUUAUACUCUGUUCUUAGUUGCUGAAGAUUUUCUAGUGUGUUCUAGUGAGCAGUGCUCCAUGCUUGUUCCUCCAUUUUCGAGGUGGCAAAAAGCCUGAAUCAGAUAAUAAAACGAUGAUCUUGUUUGUCAGAA